GGGCCCGCACAAGCGGUGGAGUAUGUGGUUUAAUUCGAUGCAACGCGAAGAACCUUACCAGGGUUUGACAUCCUGCGAAUCUCUUGGAAACGAGAGAGUGCCUUCGGGAACGCAGUGACAGGUGGUGCAUGGCUGUCGUCAGCUCGUGUCGUGAGAUGUUGGGUUAAGUCCCGCAACGAGCGCAACCCACAUCCCUAGUUGCCAGCAGUUCGGCUGGGCACUCUAUGGAAACUGCCCGUGAUAAGCGGGAGGAAGGUGUGGAUGACGUCAAGUCCUCAUGGCCCUUACGGGUUGGGCUACACACGUGCUACAAUGGCAGUGACAAUGGGUUAAUCCCAAAAAGCUGUCUCAGUUCGGAUUGGGGUCUGCAACUCGACCCCAUGAAGUCGGAAUCGCUAGUAAUCGC
rnacentral:rRNA from 1 species